rnacentral:tRNA from 1 species
UUUGGAGUGCCUGAAGUAUUAAGGACCAUUUUGAUGUGAUGGGUAUAGAAUAGAAUUGUUCUCUUCAAAU